rnacentral:rRNA from 1 species
UACCCGCGGUUAGACGGAAAGACCCCGUGCACCUUUACUACAGCUUCGCACUGGCAUCAGGAUUGUGAUGUGCAGGAUAGGUGGUAGGCUUUGAACCCGUGACGCCAGUCGCGGUGGAGCCUCCCUUGAGAUACCACCCUUCGCACUCUUGAUGUCUAACCGCGGCCCGUUAUCCGGGUCCGGGACCCUGCGUGGCGGGUAGUUUGACUGGGGCGGUCGCCUCCUAAAGCGUAACGGAGGCGCGCGAAGGUUGGCUCAGAGCGGUCGGAAAUCGCUCGUUGAGUGCAAUGGCAUAAGCCCGCCUGACUGCGAGACUGACAGGUCGAGCAGAGUCGAAAGACGGCCAUAGUGAUCCGGUGGUCCCAAGUGGGAGGGCCAUCGCUCAACGGAUAAAAGGUACGCCGGGGAUAACAGGCUGAU